UUGAUGUAAAAGUUCGUAACAAGGUCUCCGUUGGUGAACCAGCGGAG
rnacentral:rRNA from 1 species